CCUACGGGAGGCAGCAGGUGGGGAAUUUUGGACAAUGGGCGAAAGCCUGAUCCAGCAAUGCCGCGUGAGUGAAGAAGGCCUUCGGGUUGUAAAGCUCUUUUGUCAGGGAAGAAACGGUGAGAGCUAAUAUCUCUUGCUAAUGACGGUACCUGAAGAAUAAGCACCGGCUAACUACGUGCCAGCAGCCGCGGUAAUACGUAGGGUGCAAGCGUUAAUCGGAAUUACUGGGCGUAAAGCGUGCGCAGGCGGUUUUGUAAGUCUGAUGUGAAAUCCCCGGGCUCAACCUGGGAAUUGCAUUGGAGACUGCAAGGCUAGAAUCUGGCAGAGGGGGGUAGAAUUCCACGUGUAGCAGUGAAAUGCGUAGAUAUGUGGAGGAACACCGAUGGCGAGGGCAGCCCCCUGGGUCAAGAUUGACGCUCAUGCACGAAAGCGUGGGGAGCAAACAGGAUUAGAUACCCUGGUAGUCCACGCCCUAAACGAUGUCUACUAGUUGUCGGGUCUUAAUUGACUUGGUAACGCAGCUAACGCGUGAAGUAGACCGCCUGGGGAGUACGGUCGCAAGAUUAAAACUCAAAAGGAUUGA
rnacentral:rRNA from 1 species